rnacentral:rRNA from 1 species
CAGUCGCCGCGGGAAUACGUAGGGUGCGAGCGUUAAUCGGAAUUACUGGGCGUAAAGCGUGCGCAGGCGGUUAUAUAAGACAGAUGUGAAAUCCCCGGGCUCAACCUGGGACCUGCAUUUGUGACUGUAUAGCUAGAGUACGGUAGAGGGGGAUGGAAUUCCGCGUGUAGCAGUGAAACGCGUAGAUAUGCGGAGGAACACCGAUGGCGAAGGCAAUCCCCUGGACCUGUACUGACGCUCAUGCACGAAAGCGUGGGGAGCAAACAGGAUUAGAUACCCCUGUAGUCCCUGUCUCUUAUAC